AUCUUUAUCACGCGCGGCGGAAUAGCAGUAGCUCGUGAGGCAUUUGCUUUACAGCUGUCUGAAGCAAUACGACUGUGUGGUCUGGACCCAGCUCGCUACAAAGGGCAUAGCUUUCGUAUUGGUGCAGCCUCGUACGCGGCAAGUCAGGGGAUGUCCGAUUAGUGCGACAUGUCAGGAAAUAGUAUAGUUCACUCGCGCAAGAUGACAGACAUAAAUACUAUAUUUCCCAACGGUGUAUACAGUAUUGUGAGUUGCGGCAUUGUGAAAUGUUCGCUUUAAUUUAAACUUUUGUAUAUCUUCAACGAAACUCCAGGAAAAUUUCGUUACUAGUUAUCAGUGGUGUCAUGUAACAAAGUAAACUUUUUCUGCAGUACUUUUACUUGGAACGAAGUUGUUUUAAGAAGUAACGUUUUACUUCGUUAUUUUCAUUUUGUGGCGAAGUACUUCGUUA